UAGGGAAUCUUCCGCAAUGGACGCAAGUCUGACGGAGCAACGCCGCGUGAGUGAAGAAGGAUUUCGGUUCGUAAAACUCUGUUGUUAGAGAAGAACAGCGCAUAGAGUAACUGUUAUGCGUGUGACGGUAUCUAACCAGAAAGCCACGGCUAACUACGUGCCAGCAGCCGCGGUAAUACGUAGGUGGCAAGCGUUGUCCGGAUUUAUUGGGCGUAAAGCGAGCGCAGGCGGUCAAUUAAGUCUGAUGUGAAAGCCCCCGGCUCAACCGGGGAGGGUCAUUGGAAACUGGUUAACUUGAGUGCAGAAGGGGAGAGUGGAAUUCCAUGUGUAGCGGUGAAAUGCGUAGAUAUAUGGAGGAACACCAGUGGCGAAGGCGACUCUCUGGUCUGUAACUGACGCUGAGGUUCGAAAGCGUGGGUAGCAAACAGG
rnacentral:rRNA from 1 species